rnacentral:rRNA from 1 species
GGCUUAGAGUUUGAUCCUGGCUCAGGACGAACGCUAGCGGCGUGCUUAACACAUGCAAGUCACGGGGGCCCGCAAGGGCAACCGGCGAACGGGUGCGUAACACGUGAGCAACCUGCCGAUGUCUGGGGGAUAGCCGGCCCAACGGCCGGGUAAUACCGCAUACGCUCAUCGGGCGGCAUCGCCUGGUGAGGAAACCUCCGGGGGACAUCGAGGGGCUCGCGGCCUAUCAGCUAGUUGGUGGGGUCAUGGCUCACCAAGGCGACGACGGGUAGCUGGUCUGAGAGGAUGGCCAGCCACAUUGGGACUGAGAUACGGCCCAGACUCCUACGGGAGGCAGCAGUGGGGAAUCUUGCGCAAUGGCCGAAAGGCUGACGCAGCGACGCCGCGUGUGGGAGGAAGCUCUUCGGGGUGUAAACCACUGUUGCCCGGGACGAACCGCCUUUU